rnacentral:tRNA from 1 species
GCCGGAGUGGCGAAACUGGCAGACGCGCGAGACUCAAAAUCUUGUUCGCUUAACGGCGAGUGUGGGUUCGAUUCCCUCCUCCGGCACCA